AAUCAGUGAAUAUAUUUUCUAUAGUUUUCUAUUUCAAGAUUUAUAUAAAAGACUAGAAAAUUCUCUACAUAUAAUUUCUCGUAUUCCAUCUCUUUUAUGAGCUAGAUUCAAGGCCCACUUGAUAAGCCCAUUAUCAUUCAAUGCCCAACAACUAAAUUAAGGCCUAGAACCAGCCCAUAAAACACUUGAAAUCAACGUUUCAACUUUCCACCAAUAUUUUGACCUUCCUUCUUCGCCUGCUUUCCUCUAACAGUUGAUACCAUAACAACCUCAAAUUAUGCUCCAUUUGUCAUCUCUCUACUUUCCUUGUCUAAAUUUUGUCUAAAUUUUAUUAAUUAUUUCACUUAUUCCAUAUGGAUUCCAACCAUUUUUUUUUUCAUUACUCUUCUUGUCAACUUUUCUCGUGUCUUAUCUGCAGAAUCCUAGAAUCAUUUUACACAUUUUAAGUCAUUAAAUCUUGCUCAGUCGAGUGAGCUUUUAAGCAAUCAAGCAUUGAUCUUUUUGUGCUUUUUGGGACACAUAUUGAACUUUGAGAGGUGGGUUUUUGUUGUUUUUCUUGAUGGGUACUGCAAUUGCUCAGUACCCAUAUGGAAUUACUUCACAUUCUUUUGUGAAAUCCGGUCACAAAUUGGAGAUUUCAAGCUCUAACUGUCAUUAUAAAGUGGAUAUAUCAAGAUUUAACUUGUAUCCUAGUUCUGUUUCCACCACUGACUCCAAGGUAUGGCGGUUGCUCGUGAUAUUAAAGGGAGGCGGGAACGUAUUGCUACAGUCAUUGGCAAUGGCACAACCAUGGCUGGUCAGGUCUAUGAAGCAACGGGCAAUGCAGGCUAUUUAGACUCAAAUAUGAUAGUGAUUUUAAAUGACAGCCGACACUCUUUACACCCCAAGAUUGAAGAGGGCUCCAAGACUUCAAUCAAUGCUCUAUCUAGCACCCUAAGCAAGCUCCAGUCAAGGUCUUACCAAGAGGAUAGGUAUGCAUGAAUUAGUAGCUAAAGUUGAUGAGUAUGCACGUGGUAUGAUGGGUCCUCUGGGAUCAACUCUCUUCGAAGAACUUGGGUUGUACUACAUAGGCCCUGGUGAUGGACACAAUAUUGAAGAUUUAGUUUGUGUUUUACAAGAAGUGUCAACUCUGGAGUCAAUGGGUCCUGUCUUGAUACAUGUAAUAACUGAAGAAAAUCAGUGUGCAGAACAUAAGCAACAGACUGAGGCAAUGGGGAACCAGCAGGAAGUCAGGAAGAUUAACAGGCAAUUAACAAGGGACUCUGCUGUAUAUAUUAAUGUGCCCGCCUGCCAUGAGGUGAGUGCUGUGUUUUUGAGUUUGCUGCGGUGAUGGAGGUUUGUGCGUGGAGAUAUAUAGUGACAGACUCUGCAGGUUGUUGAAUGUUUAUUAAUUAUAUGUUUCUUAAUUUGUUUCCAAUGCUUUUUAGUGACCGACGACUAUGGUGUUUUUGUGUUCAUAUUUAUGUGAAGUGUGAUGAUGUUUUUGUGUUCA